rnacentral:lncRNA from 1 species
GAUUGCCUUACAGUGAAAAAAAAAAAAAAACAUAAAGAACAGGAGAUGGGGUUCAUUAGUAGAGUACCCCUAGUUCAACCCCCAGCACAACAUAUGCAACACACAAAAGGCCUUGACAAUGUUCAGUAACACUGGAUUGACUAGAGAUUUAAACACUGGAUCCAAGAACCAGGGGCAGACCUUAGUGGAAUUUUCGUGACUUGCAGCCAAAUAAGAAUAAAGGCACUUAAUGCUUGCUUUAGUAGCAUUAUACAACUAAAACUGAAAUGAUCAGAAAAGAUUACCAUGGCUAUGAUGGUAAGAUGAAAGGCAAAUUCAUGAAAUGUUCUAUAUUUUGCACUGUCCAUAAGAUUGUUUGACAACCCCCCCCAAAAAAAAGA